rnacentral:rRNA from 1 species
CCUGUGAGGGUUGCUGGAGGUAUCAGAAGUGCGAAUGCUGACAUAAGUAACGAUAAAGCGGGUGAAAAGCCCGCUCGCCGGAAGACCAAGGGUUCCUGUCCAACGUUAAUCGGGGCAGGGUGAGUCGACCCCUAAGGCGAGGCCGAAAGGCGUAGUCGAUGGGAAACAGGUUAAUAUUCCUGUACUUGGUGUUACUGCGAAGGGGGGACGGAGAAGGCUAUGUUAGCCGGGCGACGGUUGUCCCGGUUUAAGCAUGUAGGCUGAUUAUCCAGGCAAAUCCGGAUAAUCAAGGCUGAGGUGUGAUGACGAGGCACUACGGUGCUGAAGUAACAAAUGCCCUGCUUCCAGGAAAAGCCUCUAAGCAUCAGGUAACAUCAAAUCGUACCCCAAACCGACACAGGUGGUCAGGUAGAGAAUACCAAGGCGCUUGAGAGAACUCGGGUGAAGGAACUAGGCAAAAUGGUGCCGUAACUUCGGGAGAAGGCACGCUGGUGUGUAGGUGAAGUCCCUGCGGAUGGAGCUGAGACCAGUCGAAGAUACCAGCUGGCUGCAACUGUUUAUUAAAAACACAGCACUGUGCAAACACGAAAGUGGACGUAUACGGUGUGACGCCUGCCCGGUGCCGGAAGGUUAAUUGAUGGGGUUAUCCGUAAGGAGAAGCUCUUGAUCGAAGCCCCGGUAAACGGCGGCCGUAACUAUAACGGUCCUAAGGUAGCGAAAUUCCUUGUCGGGUAAGUUCCGACCUGCACGAAUGGCGUAAUGAUGGCCAGGCUGUCUCCACCCGAGACUCAGUGAAAUUGAACUCGCUGUGAAGAUGCAGUGUACCCGCGGCAAGACGGAAAGACCCCGUGAACCUUUACUAUAGCUUGACACUGAACAUUGAGCCUUGAUGUGUAGGAUAGGUGGGAGGCUUUGAAGCGUGGACGCCAGUCUGCGUGGAGCCAACCUUGAAAUACCACCCUUUAAUGUUUGAUGUUCUAACGUUGGCCCCUUAUCGGGGUUGCGGACAGUGUCUGGUGGGUAGUUUGACUGGGGCGGUCUCCUCCCAAAGCGUAACGGAGGAGCACGAAGGUUAGCUAAUCCUGGUCGGACAUCAGGAGGUUAGUGCAAUGGCAUAAGCUAGCUUGACUGCGAGCGUGACGGCGCGAGCAGGUGCGAAAGCAGGUCAUAGUGAUCCGGUGGUUCUGAAUGGAAGGGCCAUCGCUCAACGGAUAAAAGGUACUCCGGGGAUAACAGGCUGAUACCGCCCAAGAGUUCAUAUCGACGGCGGUGUUUGGCACCUCGAUGUCGGCUCAUCACAUCCUGGGGCUGAAGUAGGUCCCAAGGGUAUGGCUGUUCGCCAUUUAAAGUGGUACGCGAGCUGGGUUUAGAACGUCGUGAGACAGUUCGGUCCCUAUCUGCCGUGGGCGCUGGAGAAUUGAGGGGGGCUGCUCCUAGUACGAGAGGACCGGAGUGGACGCAUCACUGGUGUUCGGGUUGUCAUGCCAAUGGCACUGCCCGGUAGCUAAAUGCGGAAGAGAUAAGUGCUGAAAGCAUCUAAGCACGAAACUUGCCCCGAGAUGAGUUCUCCCUGAGACUUUAAGUCUCCUGAAGGAACGUUGAAGACGACGACGUUGAUAGGCCGGGUGUGUAAGCGCAGCGAUGCGUUGAGCUAACCGGUACUAAUGAACCGUGAGGCUUAACCUU